AUCCUCACUGCAGAACAUGUUCUUUCUGUCUGUGAUCUCGUUAGAGGAAACAUGUGCGCGUCGUGUGAAGUAAAUAGUAAAUAAAAUUACAAAAAAGUACACGUAUUACAAACACCAAAAAGUAGUACGGUGCGGUUAUUAGUAAAUUAGUACGAUGACGAAUUGUUAAAAGAACAUAAAUAGUGUGAACUGAACUAAACAACAAACGCAACAAAGAAAAGGUCCAAGAGGGCCUUUUCUUAUUUUAUCGGCUAAUUAUCCAGCUGAAAACACACGGCAACAUCUAAAAACAACCAAGAAACCCAGACAGAAAACCCGAAACAUAACCUUGCUCAAGGUUAUCAGUAAAAACCAUCCGGUUGAAUCAGGCCCGCAACAUAACCUUGCCGUUUUGAGGUUACGGACGAAAACCAUCCGGUGGUACAAGGCUCCUCCGACUGCACAAGUCCGGAAUCACAACCAGCAAGCAUCGGGUGCUUCCGGGACGCCGGAAGACGCCUGUUGUGAAUCCGGGUUUGCCGUUUGGAACAACAACAUCUAUGUGUCCGUCUGAUUGUCCACCGAUCGUGCGGUCUGUAGCAGCUCCAGUUAAGUCCCGUGUCAAACAAUAACAUUAACCGCAAGUAUGCCUAUGUAAAAGUA